CCCGCCGCUCGGGUCUCGCUGUUCAGGGAGUGAAGGGGGAUGGUCCCGCACGCCCGGCUGUGAAUGGCGAGGCUGCGUCGGGUCCCCGUGAGGAAAAUAGCGGACAUGGCUGGUUUCUCCGUGGAGUUAACAAAGCGCUUCCACGCUCUCUCCCUUGGUGCUCUGUCAGGUAGCAAUGUCCUCAUUUUACAAGCCGAAUGACGUGACUCACCCAAAGCCUCAAACUAAUCAAUGGAAAAGCCGGAAUUUGAAGCUGUGCUGCCUUCAAAAUUCCGGAGGGCUUACCGUUGCAUCACAUUAUCUCCCUAAGUCACUAAUGGGAGACACACACGCCCCUAUAGAUGGAUUAUGCAGGUGACUACAAACUGCCCAGAUUGACAGAGCCACAAGAAAGAAGGUGCCUGGAUGAAGGAGAGCUGCCCUCUGACCUGGAACACUCAUUCUGGAUUAUUAUGCAGAAGCUUCAGGAGCCAUGUCUCUGCCCCUGCCACAAGAUGGGCUGCCUCUGGCCAUCUGAGUCCUGAGUGAAGACACCAUAGAGCAGAACUACAAGCUGACCUGCCACUGGGCAUGCAGUGUGAA